rnacentral:rRNA from 2 species
CUGCGAGACCGUAUAGCGAACAAGGUACCGGGUAGGGGAAAGAUGAAAAGAACUUUGAAAAGAGAGUUAAAGAGUACCUGAAACUGCUGAAAGGGAACCGAAUCGUUUCCAGUGUCUAUAAUCCAUGGCAUAUUUCAUUGGCGAGUGAGUGCGUGCAGCGUUUUGGAAGUGGUUUUCCGCUCCUGUCGUUGUUGUGCAUUUGCUUGCUGGUGCCCUGUGCUGUGGUGGGACGUCAGAGUCAGUUUGUGUGUCGCGGGAAAUGGUUAUUGGGGAGGUAGGUCGCUUCGGUGGCUAUUAUAUCCUGGUAACUAGUCGUCGUGGCUGAGACUGAGGUGCCUACAAUGUGCUUUCGAGUGUGCGGGUUUCUCGUGUGGCUGUUUGCUUUGAUAGCUUGCUAUGUUGGUGAAUAAAUUGUGCGAUUGAGACCUGUAUUAACUUGUUGCUGUUCGGGACUUUGAA